AUUUACUUACUUUAGCUUACAUUUUAGAGUUAAUGGAGUUCAUUUUUAGAGUUAGUGUUAAUGGAGCAUUUCAGGUCAAGUCUCAAAGGGGUCUUUAGGUUUUCUAGAAACGUAUGUGAGAGCUUCAUUGCAUUUCCAUUUAGACUGCAGUUCCAGUGGUUAAAGUGGAUCCUCCAGUGCAAGAGGUCAAAGACAUUCCUGAUGCUGAGCCACUGCCUCAUAUUCCUGUGGUGGAGGUUGUGUCUGAUGAGGAGCCAGACGCUGCUAACGUGCCCUUCUCUCCCAGGGUAAUAGAAUGGAUUAAGCAUGGUUUUGAGAAAGUAGUUCCCCUGUCUCCUGUCCAUCUUCGUCCUCCCGCUGGCACAGAUGCACCUGCCCAGAAGGCUGCUUCUGCACCUGUGACUCCCUGCAAACAAGAGCCAGCACCUGCAGCUCCUGAGCAAACUAAAGUAGCUGAGGAUUCCAAAGGCACGAAUAUGAUUGGCUGGAUAGUACAGGGGCUCGGACGCAUCAUACCACAACCAGUACAGAAACCAAAAGAGGACAGCUCUGAUAUCGUUCAAAACGGUACGUUUUUUUUAACACAUCUUUACACGCAUAGAUAUAAUGACUGCAGAAAGCUUUGCAAGACAGGGUGUUUUGUUCCCCACGAUUAUAUAUUUGAAUAUAUCAGAGGCAUUGCUAGUCUCUCACUGCUUAUUUGUAGGUGGAGGUGUUAACUCAGCUCCUCUUCUCCUUCUGUUUCAGGGGAGUAGGUCGUUAAAGCCCCCUAAACAUAAGGAGAAGACGACUGGGAGAGUCAUUACCUCCACGCAGAGACAGCGAGAGACGUUCAGACAUAUACACAUACUAAUAUCCUCUAGUUCCAUACAGCUACAUCGGAUUUGAACAUUUGCAGCAGUGCUUUUUCAUGUAAUCUUCCUUGGUGAUUUCUGUUAACUGUAUUACAGAUUAGCAUGCUGGCUUGUUAAUUGUGAUGAUUGUUUAGUGCUUUGAUGAUUAGGCUACCUCACAGACAUGCAGUAAACACACAGUGGCCCAGUCAGAGUUUACAAUGUCAUUUACUGCUUGUAUAUUGUCGACAUUUGCGCCAUCAGCAUCACUAAACAUUAAAUAUUUCCACCUUUGAUUGGUCAGAAUGUCCAGCCCCAAACUUGUGUACAGGGUUUCAUAAGCCCCACAGAGCCACAGUUUUCACAUGUUUAGAGGAAAUCAACUUUAAUCUAUGAAUAUUAAACCAGGAUAGGAGAAAGUUUAACAUAAAAAAUCUUCCACCUUUAACACUGCUUUUUCCUCUGUAUUUUCUUCCUCUUGUUUUCCAGUACAAAUAUCUAAACAUUCUUUAAUCAAGACACAAGCAAAAUGACAUAUUCUUGCUUUCUAAAAUAAAAUAAUUCCUGAUUAAAAUGAGAAAAAAAAAAUCUGCCAAAGCGGUAAGAAAAAAAAUUUAUUCAAAAGGAAAUGCAUUUUUUUACCCCAUGGACAUAUAUUUUUUCUUGUUUUAAGCAUAAACUUGCUUCAUUUUGAUACAUCUUUCAGAAAGCAAGACUUGAGAACAUAAUUUAGAAAAUAAUUUUUGCAGAGUAAAGGAGCACAGUUAUAUGCAAUAUUGUUGCCAUAAAAUGAAAAAAAAUGGGGGGGGGAAAUGCCCAUAAAUCCCCAUGCCACUAAAUGUAUUUGCCAAUAUUUACAUUGCUUUGAAAAACAAAACCUAUGAGCUGUUUUACCAUGCUAAGGAUGUUAGCAAAGUCACUGUUCGUGAUUCACCAAUUCAAGGCUUCUCUACAGCAAGGUGGAACAUUCUCAUGUUGUAUAUUGAUGUUAUUUAUGUUUAUGUUUUAUUGUGAAGGGCUAUUGCUAACAACACAGGCAGCUACCUUACUUUCUCUGCUGUCUGAAAUCAAUAAUAAAUAAAUGAUUUCAAAAAAGCAGAUUGUUUGUCGUGUGGUCAGAGCAGAAAUGUGUAAAAUGCUAAAAAUGCUGUCAAAUUGUAUGUGGAAGAAGCACUACUGCAGCUAAAAUAAUUUCAUUCAUUUUUAAAACACAUUAUGUUUCAGUAAGUUUGAGCACUUUAGGACAUAUACUGUAUGUGUUUCAUUAACCAAAUUUGGUAACACUUUAGAAUAGGGAACAUUAAGAAACUCCUAAUUUGCUGCUUAUUAAUAGUUAGUAAGGUAGUUGUUAAGUUUAGGUAUUGGGUCGGGUUAAGGGCUCUAGAACAUGGUGAUGCAGAAUAAGGCAUUAAUGUGCUCUUUAUACUGUAAGUACUAAUAAACAGACAAUAUGUGAAUAAUAUGCAUGCUAGUAAGCAACUAGUUAAUAGUGAGAAUUGGACCUUAAAAUAAAGUGUUAGCCUAAAUUCUUACAGCUUACAAAAUGUGCAAAUUCCAAAUGUGUUGCUUUUUAAUACAUAAUACAAAUGUACAAUGCAUUUUUAGUAUUAAUAAUAAAAAAAAAAAAACAUGAUGCAGCUCUAACCGCUGACAAUUGCCCAAAACCCACUAAAACCAUCCAAAACCAAAACAGACCAGCGUAAUCUGCAUUGCCAUGCUUUGAGACCAGCAAACCAC
ensembl:lncRNA